GAUUCUAUUUAGGUUGGUGCAAAAGUUAUUGAGGUUUUUGCUAUUACUUUUAACGGCAAAAACUGCAAUUAUUUUCGCACCAACCUAAUAA
rnacentral:miRNA from 1 species